UUUCCGUAGGUGAACCUGCGGAAGGAUCAUUACAAAUCCAUUCACGUCUCAUUCCUUGGGACCACGUUGAAAUGUUCCCUAGUGUGUGUAUGUGUGUAUUGUUGUGGGGUCCCCUCGACCUUCAGCCGUUUCACCGGCCGUCCGUCCUGGUGUGGCACACACAUACACAAUACAAUUCAAUACACACUAGGCUUGUAAACUAGUAUCAUCUGUUGCUCAAUUGAAUCUUGCUUGAUUGUAAUGAUCAAGGUAAACAAAGUACAACUUAUAACAAUGGAUCUCUAGGCUCUU
rnacentral:misc_RNA from 1 species